UUGAAUAAUGAAUGAUUUAUGUUAUUUAGUGUACAUGAUUUAUGUUAUUGAAGUGUUAUUGAAUAAUUAAGUGUACAUGAUUUAUGUUAUUUAGGUUUAAUUCAUUUUAAUUUAGUGUUUGUACAAGAAACUACGACGCCUCUACAAACUACGCCACAAGAGGAGCACACCACUUCACAACCGCGCAGAGGAAGAUCGAUAAUAUUCACGAAAGAGGCGUUACG
rnacentral:lncRNA from 1 species